UAGCUGUGGGAUCACGGGCAAGUCUUGGAGGUGCCUCUUCCAGCUUCAAAUCUCUGUGUACUUUGGGGAGGCAGGGGGUUUGCUUCCCAGGUGCAGGCUUGCACCUGCCUCUUUCUGGAUUGCAUCAGAGCUGCUCAGGACUCAUUUCCCCACCCCCACAGGCGCCUACAGCUCCCUCCCCCUCCCAUAACUUAUUAGCUACAGAUAACAUCCCUUUGUUCUCCCAGUGACUCCACACCCACAGAAGGAGAGGGGGAUGAAGAAAUCUGCCAGGAGGGUGCCUCCCGCCAGUAUCUGAUGAAGGUAAGAGAGUGACUCAGCCCUGGCCUCAUGGACCCUCCACAGGCUCUCCCUCCCUCAAGGGUGCAGGUGUGUCCCCACCUCGGAUUGGAGGCCAGGAAACUAACCACAAUCUCCUGGCUAUGAGACCUGGCCCCUGCCUUGGAGGCAAAACAGGGUGAAAUACAGGCAGGCAGGAUCCCAAACCACAGAAGCUCAAGUUAGGUCAUUCUUGUGAACAUGACAACUCGCUGUCUCUCUAGGUCAACAAAAAGAGACAUAGAUCCAUUUGAAAAUGGACUUAAAAGACUAACAAUGUGGCCAGGUGCAGUGGCUCAUGCUUGUAAUCCCAGCACGCUGGGAGGCCGAGGCGGGUGGAUCACCUGAGGUCAGGGGUUUGAGACCAGCCUAGCCAACAUGGUGAAACCCCGUCUCUACUAAAAAUAAAAAAAUUUAGCCAGGCGUGGUGAUGGACGCCUGUAAUUCCAGCUACUUGGGAGGCUGAGGCAGGAGAAUCUCUUGAACCCGGGAGGCAGAGGUUGCAGUGAGCCGAGAUCACAUCAUUGCACUCCAGCCUGGGCAACAAGAGUGAAACUCCGUCUCAAAAACAAAAACAAACAACAAACAAACAAAAAACCUAAGAAUGUGCAUGAUUAUUAUUGCCAUUGAGUGCCAUUCCAAAGCAAUUGAGAAAGUUAAUUAGCUGUUCCUUUACAGAAGCCAACAGAGGUGCUAGAGGACAUUUGUGCUCUCUAUAGCAGGAAUGUUGAGUACAAGGAGUUUAAAUCACUUAUCCAACAGCCAGUGAGUACAAUGUUAGAUUCUUGUUCCCUAUUCACAUGCAGCUGGCAUCUUUGGGGGAACUGCACACUGGGCAGGAACCAUCUUUCAAAGCCCCUGGAGAAGCUGCAGAGGCACUUGCAGGAUGAUCCCUCUCUGGGACAGGCUCUCUGAGACAGUUAGAAAUGAAGUUGAGGUGCCGGGGGGGCAGUGACUCACGCCUGUAAUCCCAGCACUUUGGGAGGCUGAGGUGGGUGGAUUGCUUGAGGCCAGGAAUUCGAGACCAGCCUGGCCAGCAUGGUGAAACCCUAUCUCUACUAAAAAUACAAAAAAUUAGCCGGGCAUGGUGGCACACGCCUGUAGUCCUAGCUACUCAGGAGGCUGAGGCAGGAGAAUCGCUUGAAUCUGGGAGGUGGAGGUUGCAGUGAGCCGAGAUCGUGCCACUGCACUCCAGCCUGGGUGACACAGUGAGACUCCCUCUCAAAAAAAAAAAAAAAAGAAAAAAGAAAAAAGAAAUGAGGUUGAGAAUCAGGAUCAGUGCAGAGGAAAGAGUAAUGGAAAAUUACUACUCCUCUGAAAUAAUAAUUCUUGGGAACUUUGACAUGGCUGGUGUGGCUCUGAAUGUGGUCAUUUUUCCUUAAACAUGGGAUCCAGCCCAAGGCAGAAGUAGAUGAAUCCUUGGGAAUGCACAAUUACUAUUCACUCAGUUCACUGUGGGAAUCAAGCAAAUGAAAUUGCCUGAUGAAAAAAACAACACUGCCUUAAGAAGCACUCUGUCAUGUUCACAGUGAAUUUAAAAUAAUUAUUAGGAAAGAGGGCUUGGCAAUGUGAAGAAUGUCAGAAAUCUUCAGCCCAAUUUGUUCUUAGGGUAUGAUGAAAAUGGAUAUAUUUUGACUGAAAUUCUAACUUCUACUCUCAGGGCUACUCAGAAAGUCUGGCUAAUGGUUCAUAUAGGAAAAACAAACAGAUUUUUUUUCUUUCCUAGACUGGUGUCCCUGAGGCUUAGGAAUAAUAAUCAAUUUCUCUAAGGCUAGUUAAUAACAAACACUGUUUGUUCUUUGUAGUAUCUAACAUUUGCCCAACCUACUUAUAGCACAUGGAAUUUGGACUGAACCCACAAGAUACACACUGGUUGCCUUUGACCCUGGGAUAGGGCUUACUGACAUCUAUUUUGAAUGGAGGGAAGAGUGGAGUACUAGAAUUGAUGCUGGGUGAAUUAAAUUCUACCCAUUAUAAACCGUGUUUGAAGCAGCUCAUGGGAUCACUCUUAUAGACCACAUGAGUUAUUUCUGGGCCUGGGGCUUCUCUGGCCGCCCGCAUCCCCACUGGUUGGCUCAGCCCCUGGUCCUUAGAAGACCUUCCUGAGAGGCCAGUGUACCUUCUUGGCUACAUUUCUCUGCAGCCUUUUAAUAUUCACACAUGAGACAACUUAACACACUGCUGCCUCACAUGGCCAUGAGUUCUGUUCUGUGCCAGCAUCAGGACCAAUCUUGUCUUGGACAGGGGGGCUAGGAAGACCUUUGCCCUAGUAGCUAGCAUCAAGUCAUGAUAGUGGCCAGCCCCAGGCUGGCCUUAUGCUCUGGCUCCGGAAACUGGACUCUCACCUUGUCCAUUCAUUUGAGAAAUAUUUAUUGAGCAUCAGACACUGUACUAGGCCUACAAAUAGAGCACUAACUAAAAGAGAUAAAGAUGUCUGCCUGGCUGGGAGCAGUGGCUCAGGCCCGUAAUCCCAGCACUUUGGGAGGCCAAGGCAGGUGGAACAUGAGGUCAGGAGAUUGAGACCAUCUUGACCAACAUGGUGAAAUUUCAUCUCUACUAAAAUACAAAAAAUUGCCAGCUGCGGGGGC
rnacentral:lncRNA from 10 species